GAUGAACGCUGGCGGCGUGCCUAAUACAUGCAAGUCGAGCGAACGGACGAGAAGCUUGCUUCUCUGAUGUUAGCGGCGGACGGGUGAGUAACACGUGGAUAACCUACCUAUAAGACUGGGAUAACUUCGGGAAACCGUAGCUAAUACCGGAUAAUAUUUUGAACCGCAUGGUUCAAAAGUGAAAGACGGUCUUGCUGUCACUUAUAGAUGGAUCCGCGCUGCAUUAGCUAGUUGGUAAGGUAACGGCUUACCAAGGCAACGAUGCAUAGCCGACCUGAGAGGGUGAUCGGCCACACUGGAACUGAGACACGGUCCAGACUCCUACGGGAGGCAGCAGUAGGGAAUCUUCCGCAAUGGGCAAAAGCCUGACGGAGCAACGCCGCGUGAGUGAUGAAGGUCUUCGGAUCGUAAAACUCUGUUAUUAGGGAAGAACAUAUGUGUAAGUAACUGUGCACAUCUUGACGGUACCUAAUCAGAAAGCCACGGCUAACUACGU
rnacentral:rRNA from 1 species